GGAGAGAUGGCUCAGUGGUUAAGAGCACUGACUGCUCUUCCAGAGGUCCUGAGUUCAAAUCUCAGCAACCACA
rnacentral:tRNA from 1 species